rnacentral:rRNA from 1 species
GAUGAACGCUGGCGGCGUGCCUAAUACAUGCAAGUCGAGCGAACGGACGAGAAGCUUGCUUCUCUGAUGUUAGCGGCGGACGGGUGAGUAACACGUGGAUAACCUACCUAUAAGACUGGGAUAACUUCGGGAAACCGGCGCUAAUACCGGAUAAUAUUUUGAACCGCAUGGUUCAAAAGUGAAAGACGGUCUUGCUGUCACUUAUAGAUGGAUCCGCGCUGCGUUAGCUAGUUGGUAAGGUAACGGCUUACCAAGGCAACGAUGCAUAGCCGACCUGAGAGGGUGAUCGGCCACACUGGAACUGAGACACGGUCCAGACUCCUACGGGAGGCAGCAGUAGGGAAUCUUCCGCAAUGGGCGAAAGCCUGACGGAGCAACGCCGCGUGAGUGAUGAAGGUCUUCGGAUCGUAAAACUCUGUUAUUAGGGAAGAACAUAUGUGUAAGUAACUGUGCACAUCUUGACGGUACCUAAUCAGAAAGCCACGGCUAACUACGUG